AUUGAACGCUGGCGGCAGGCCUAACACAUGCAAGUCGAACGAGUGGCGGACGGGUGAGUAAUGUCUGGGAAACUGCCUGAUGGAUGGGGAUAACUCCUGGAAACGGUAGCUAAUACCGCAUACCAUCAGAUGUGCCCAGAUGGGAUUAGCUUGUUGGUGGGGUAACGGCGCACCAAGGCGACGAUCCCUAGCUGGGCUGAGAGGAUGACCAGCCACCCUGGAACGGAGACACGGUCCAGACGCCGACGGGAGGCAGCAGUGGGGAAUAUUGCAAAAUGGGCGCAAGCCUGAUGCAGCCAUGCCGCGUGUAUGAAGAAGGCCUUCGGUUUUUAAAGUACUUUCAGCGGGGAGGCGUUACCCGCAGAAGAAGCACCGGCUAACUCCGUGCCAGCAGCCGCGGUAAUAC
rnacentral:rRNA from 1 species